CAAAAACAUCGCCUCUUGAUAUCCAUAAGAGGUCCAGCCUGCCCAGUGACAAAAUUUAACGGCCGCGGUACCCUAACCGUGCGAAGGUAGCAUAAUCACUUGUUCUUUAAAUGAGGACUAGUAUCAACGGCACCACGAGGGUUGCACUGUCUCCUUUUUCUAAUCAAUGAAACUGAUCUCCCCGUGAAGAAGCGGGGAUUUAAAUAUAAGACGAGAAGACCCCAUGGAGCUUUAAACCUCACAGCAACUUAACUAUCAAAAUCCUUUAUAGCCCAAAAAGAAAUGCAUGCCGGUUUUAGGUUGGGGUGACCGCGGAGUACAAUUUAACCUCCACAACGAAAAGGAUAAAACCUUUAUCCAAGAGAUACUACUCUAAGAAUUAGCACACUAACGGACAAUGAUCCGAUAAUCGAUCAACGGACCAAGUUACCCUGGGGAUAACAGCGCAAUCUACUUCAAGAGCCCAUAUCGACAAGUAGGCUUACGACCUCGAUGUUGGAUCAGGGUAUCCCAGUGGUGCAGCCGCUACUAAUGUGUUCGUUUGUUCAACGAUUAAAACCCUACAUGAUCUGAGUU
rnacentral:rRNA from 1 species